rnacentral:rRNA from 1 species
AUCUCUGUAGAGUCUGCAUAUCAAUAAGCGGAGGAAAAGAAACUAACUAGGAUUCCCUCAGUAACGGCGAGUGAAGCGGGAAGAGCUCAAAUUUGAAAUCUUCAAGGUUCUACCUUGACGAAUUGUAGUUUAAAGAAGUGUUUUCUGUUGGAGUUUUGGUAAAAGUUCUUUGGAAUAGGACAUCAUAGAGGGUGAGAAUCCCGUAUUUGACCAUUAUUUCCAGCUUUGUGAUACACUUUCAAAGAGUCGGAUUGUUUGGGAAUGCAGUCCAAAAUGGGUGGUAAAUUUCAUCUAAAGCUAAAUACUGGCGAGAGACCGAUAGCGAACAAGUACCGUGAGGGAAAGAUGAAAAGAACUUUGAAAAGAGAGUUAAACAGUACGUGAAAUUGUCAAAAGGGAAGCGUUUGACACCAGUGUUGUUUUUCUGAAAAUCAAUUAAAGAACUGUUUAUGCUAAGCUGUUUAGACUUUAUCAGCUAUCUGUUUAGUUUUGAGCUUUUCUUUAAUGCACUUUUCAGUUAACAAGUCAACAUCAAUUUCUUUUGCUGUAAAAAAGCUUGAGGAAGGUGGCUUGAGAUUCGUCAUAAGUGUUUAUAGCCUCUUGCCUAUGCAGUCGGAGAGAUUGAGGUCUGCAGCGUAGACCCUUCGGGGCUAAAUGCAUUUGUGCUAAGUUAUAGCAUUUUAUAGACAACUUGUUGACUAUGAUUUGUCUUGUAGCUUACUCGCUUAUGUUAUUUUACCUACGCUUAGGAUGUUGACGAUCAGCUGAGCGCG